UACGGGGGGGGCAAGCGUUGUUCGGAAUUACUGGGCGUAAAGGGCUCGUAGGUGGCCAACUAAGUCAUACGUGAAAUCCCUCGGCUUAACCGGGGAACUGCGUCUGAUACUGGAUGGCUUGAGGUUGGGAGAGGGAUGCGGAAUUCCAGGUGUAGCGGUGAAAUGCGUAGAUAUCUGGAGGAACACCGGUGGCGAAGGCGGCAUCCUGGACCAAUUCUGACACUGAGGUGCGAAAGCCAGGGGAGCGAACGGG
rnacentral:rRNA from 1 species